rnacentral:tRNA from 1 species
CGCAGGGUGGAGCAGUGGUCGCUCGUCAGGCUCAUAACCUGAAUUACGUUGGUUCGAAUCCAAUCUCUGCAA